rnacentral:rRNA from 1 species
UACGAAGGGGGCUAGCGUUGCUCGGAAUCACUGGGCGUAAAGCGCACGUAGGCGGCUUUCUAAGUCAGGGGUGAAAUCCCGGAGCUCAACUCCGGAACUGCCUUUGAUACUGAAGAUCUUGAGUUCGGGAGAGGUGAGUGGAACUGCGAGUGUAGAGGUGAAAUUCGUAGAUAUUCGCAAGAACACCAGUGGCGAAGGCGGCUCACUGGCCCGGUACUGACGCUGAGGUGCGAAAGCGUGGGGAGCAAACAGG